UGGGGAAUAUUGGACAAUGGGCGAAAGCCUGAUCCAGCCAUGCCGCGUGUGUGAAGAAGGUCUUCGGAUUGUAAAGCACUUUAAGUUGGGAGGAAGGGCAGUAAGCGAAUACCUUGCUGUUUUGACGUUACCGACAGAAUAAGCACCGGCUAACUCUGUGCCAGCAGCCGCAGUAAUACAGAGGGUGCAAGCGUUAAUCGGAAUUACUGGGCGUAAAGCGCGCGUAGGUGGUUCGUUAAGUUGAAUGUGAAAGCCCCGGGCUCGACCUGGGAAUUGCAUCCAAAACUGGCUAGCUAGAGUAGGGCAGAGGGUGGUGGAAUUUCCUGUGUAGCGGUGAAAUGCGUUGAUAUAGGAAGGAACACCAGUGGCGAAGGCGACCACCUGGGCUCAUACUGACACUGAGGUGCGAAAACGUGGGGAGCAAACAGG
rnacentral:rRNA from 1 species